rnacentral:misc_RNA from 1 species
GGUGGUACAUGUAUCAAUUAAGUGAAUUUUUGUUCUGGUGGAUCAAUUCAAUAAAAGAAAAAAAGCUUUUCGAGUCGGUCAAAUCCCUUUCAUGGGGUUGAGGGAAGACCUUCCUGCCUUGUACUAUUAUUGAAGUGGAUGGUUCAAACUCUAUCAGUUGUAUAGCAUCCCUUUUCCUUUCUCCUUCCCCUCACCGAUGUAAUUUAAAACCCCUUCAUUACAUUUAGCUUUACCCAUAUCAA